rnacentral:rRNA from 1 species
GAUGAGCGCUGGCGGCGCGCCUAACACAUGCAAGUCGCGCGAGAAAGGGCUUCGGCCCCAGUAAAGCGGCGCACGGGUGAGUAACACGUAGGUCAUCUUCCCCUGAGUGGUGGAUAACUCUCCGAAAGGAGAGCUAAUACAGCAUAAGACCACGACCUCGCCGAGGUUGUGGCCAAAGCAGACCUCUUCAUGAAAGUUUGCGCUUAGGGAUGAGCCUGCGGCCCAUCAGCUAGUUGGUAGGGUAAUGGCCUACCAAGGCUAAGACGGGUAGCUGGUCUGAGAGGAUGAACAGCCACACUGGAACUGAGACACGGUCCAGACUCCUACGGGAGGCAGCAGUGGGGAAUAUUGGACAAUGGGCGAAAGCCUGAUCCAGCAACGCCGCGUGAGGGAUGACGGCC